rnacentral:rRNA from 1 species
UACGAAGGGGGCUAGCGUUGCUCGGAAUCACUGGGCGUAAAGCGCACGUAGGCGGAUCCUUAAGUCGGGGGUGAAAUCCUGGAGCUCAACUCCAGAACUGCCUUUGAUACUGAAGAUCUUGAGUUCGGGAGAGGUGAGUGGAACUGCGAGUGUAGAGGUGAAAUUCGUAGAUAUUCGCAAGAACACCAAUGGCGAAGGCAGCUCGCUGGGACGUGACUGACGCUGAGACGCGAAAGCGUGGGAAG